UCGAGAGUUUGAUCCUGGCUCAGGAUGAACGCUAGCGGCAGGCUUAACACAUGCAAGUCGAGGGGUAUAGUUCUUCGGAGCUAGAGACCGGCGCACGGGUGCGUAACGCGUAUACAAUCUACCUUAUACAGGGGAAUAGCCCAGAGAAAUUUGGAUUAAUACCUCAUAGUAUGUGAGAAUCGCAUGGUUUUUCACAUUAAAGUUCCAACGGUAAAACGAUGAGCAUGCGUCCCAUUAGCUAGAUGGUAAGGUAACGGCUUACCAUGGCAACGAUGGGUAGGGGUCCUGAG
rnacentral:rRNA from 1 species